rnacentral:rRNA from 1 species
UACAGAGGGGGCAAGCGUUGUUCGGAAUUACUGGGCGUAAAGCGUGCGCAGGCGGUCUGUUAAGACCGAUGUGAAAUCCCCGGGCUUAACCUGGGAACUGCAUUGGUGACUGGCAGGCUUGAGUGUGGCAGAGGGGGGUGGAAUUCCGCGUGUAGCAGUGAAAUGCGUAGAGAUGCGGAGGAACACCGAUGGCGAAGGCAGCCCCCUGGGCCAACACUGACGCUCAGGCACGAAAGCGUGGGGAGCGAACAGG